CAGGGAAGAGUCCUUCAGGGGAAUCAGACCCAGGGAAGAGUCCUUCAGGGGAAUCAGACCCAGGGAAGAGUCCUUCAGGGGAAUCAGACCCAGGGAAGAGUCCUUCAGGGGAAUCAGACCCAGGGAAGAGUCCUUCAGGGGAAUCAGACCCAGGGAAGAGUCCUUCAGGGGAAUCAGACCCAGGGAAGAGUCCUUCAGGGGAAUCAGCAGAAUCAGGCCCAGAGAUGCCCAAAGCAACAGGAGGACAUCAUCACUGCUCCCACUGUGGAAAGAGUUUUACCAAGUUAGGGAACCUGAAUAGGCAUGAGAGGACACACACAGGAGAAAAACCUUUCCAAUGCUCCCAGUGUGGAAAGAGUUUUAAUGAAUUAGGGUACCUAGUAAUACAUAAGAGAAUACACUAUGGAGAGAAGCCUUACCACUGCUCCAACUGCGGAAUGACUUUUACCUGGCCAGGAAGCCUGAAAACACAUGAGAGAAUUCACACUGGAGAAAAUCCUUUCCAAUGUUCACACUGUGGAAAGAAUUUUACCCAGUUAGGGAACCUAAAUCGGCACAAGAGGACACACACAGGAGAGAAGCCUUAUCACUGUUCCCAGUGUGGAAAGAGUUUUAGGGGUUUAAUGAGCCUAAAACAGCAUGAGAGGACACACACAGGAGAAAAGCCUUACCAAUGCACCAUAUGUGGAAAGAGAUUUACCCUGUUAAAGUCCAUGAAAUUACAUGGAAGAAUACAUACAGGAGAGAAGCAUUAUCAAUGUUCCCAGUGUGGAAAGAAUUUUAGGGGUUUAGUGAACCUGAAACGGCAUGAGAGGACACACACACAAGAAAAGCCCUACCACUGCUCCCUGUGUGGAAAGAGUUUUACGAAGUUAGAGGGCCUGACUAGGCAUGAGAGGACACACACAGGAGGGGAUAAGACCACUGCUCCCUGUGUGGAAAGAGAUUUACCCAGUUAAAGUCCAUGAAAUUACAUGGAAGAAUACAUACAGGAGAGAAGCAUUAUCAAUGUUCCCAGUGUGGAAAGAAUUUUAGGGGUUUAGUGAACCUGAAACAGCAUGAGAGGACACACACACACACACACACACACAAGAAAAGCCCUACCACUGCUCCCUGUGUGGAAAGAGUUUUACCAAGUUAGAGGGUCUGACUAGGCAUGAGAGGACACACACAGGAGGAGAUAAGACCACUGCUCCCUGUGUGGAAAGAGAUUUACCAAGUUAGAGGGUCUGACUAGGCAUGAGAGGACACACACAGGAGGGGAUAAGACCACUGCUCCCUGUGUGGAAAGAGAUUUAACCGGUUGAGGCAUCUGAAUAAGCAUGAAAGAAUACAUACACAGGAGGAGAAGACAUACCACUGCUCUCAUUGUGGAAAGACAUUUUCCCAGUCAGAAGACCUGAAAGCACAUGAGAGAAUAGAGAGACUGUGUUCUGACUUGUGUUUUUGACUGAAAAUUAGUGUUUUAGUUUGGCACAUUAAAUCAUAUUGUUUAAAUGAAAUCAUACAUGAAAAUCUGACCAAAACAACAGGCCUGUUUUUGUUGUUUUUUCAUAUUGAUCAUGUCUAAAAUCAAUUAAAUAUUUUAAGGUGUAUUUUGUUUUUCUUUAUUAGCUUUGAUUGGUUGUAUACAAGUAUAAACCCUCUGUUGUUCAUAAUAUGAUUUGGAUAUUGCUAAAUGUAAAUGAUUAUAUAAGGAAGGAAGUAGCCUUGGCUUGUCUGAGCCAGAACGGCUCACAGUAGCAGGAGCUGUUUCUGUAGUGUGAGGCAGCUUGAUGUACAGUACUUCCCCUGGACAGGACUCUAGUCUAUACAGUACCACAGUAUAGUAACAGGACUCUAGUCUAUACAGUACCACAGUAUAGUAACAGGACUCUAGUCUAUACAGUACCACAGUAUAGUAACAGGACUCUAGUCUAUACAGUACCACAGUAUAGUAACAGGACUCUAGUCUAUACAGUACCACAGUAUAGUAACAGGAGCCUACCUCCUGUUUCUGUAGUGUGAGGCAGCUUGAUGUACAAGUUCUUCCCCUGGACAGGACUCUAAUCUAUUAAGUUAUUAUAUAGCUUCAUUUCAUUUUGCUAUUCUUCACUCCAACCUUGAAUUUGAUUUGAUAUAUGAUUUGGAUAUUUCUAAAUGACUUUGAUUGGAUACAGCUGCAGCCAAAUAUAUUGGCACCCUUGCACUUAGAAAUAAUUCCCUAUUUCUUCUCAAAUCAGUCUAGUACCACUACUUUACUAUGAUGGUCUCCACACGUUAUUGUACUAGCUCCAUUACUAUACUAUGAUGGUCUCCACACCUUUGUUAUUGUACUAGCUCCACUACUAUACUAUGAUGGUCUCCACACCUUGUUAUUGUACUAGCUCCACUACUAUACUAUGAUGGUCUCCACACCUUGUUAUUGUACUAGCUCCACUACUAUCUCCAGUACUAUACUAUGAUGGUCUCCACACCUUGUUAUUGUACUGGCUCCACUAUGAUACUAUGAUGGUCUCCACACCUUGUUAUUGUACUGGCUCCACUACUAUACUAUGAUGGUCUCCACACCUUGUUAUUGUACUAGCUCCACUACUAUACUAUGAUGGUGUCCACACCUUGUUAUUGUACUGGCUCCACUACUAUACUAUGAUGGUCUCCACAUCUUGUUAUUGUACUGGCUCCACUACUAUACUAUGAUGGUCUCCACACCUUGUUAUUGUACUGGCUCCACUACUAGUACUACUACUAUACUAUGAUGGUCUCCACACCUUGUUAUUGUACUAGCUCCACUACUAUACUAUGAUGGUCUCCACACCUUGUUAUUGUACUAGCUCCACUACUGUACUAUGAUGGUCUCCACACCUUGUUAUUGUACUAGCUCCACUACUAUCUCCACUACUAUACUAUAAUGGUCUCCACACCUUGUUAUUGUACUGGCUCCACUACUAUACUAUGAUGGUCUCCACACCUUGUUAUUGUACUAGCUCCACUACUAUACUAUGAUGGUCUCCACACCUUGUUAUUGUACGAGCUCCACUACUAUACUAUGAUGGUCUCCACACCUUGUUAUUGUACUAGCUCCACUACUAUCUCCACUACUAUACUAUAAUGGUCUCCACACCUUGUUAUUGUACUGGCUCCACUACUAUACUAUGAUGGUCUCCACACCUUGUUAUUGUACUAGCUCCACUACUAUACUAUGAUGGUCUCCACACCUUAUUGUACAAGCUCCACUACUAUACUAUGAUGGUCUCCACACCUUGUUAUUGUACUAGCUCCACUACUAUCUCCACUACUAUACUAUGAUGGUCUCCACACCUUGUUAUUGUACUGGCUCCACUACUAUACUAUGAUGGUCUCCACACCUUGUUAUUGGACUGGCUCCACUACUAUACUAUGAUGGUCUCCACACCUUGUUAUUGUACUGGCUCCACUACUAGUACUACUAAUAUACUAUGAUGGUCUCCACACCUUGUUAUUGUACUGGCUCCACUACUAUACUAUGAUGGUCUCCACACCUUGUUAUUGUACUGGCUCCACUACUAGUACUACUACUAUACUAUGAUGGUCUCCACACCUUGUUAUUGUACUAGCUCCACUACUAUACUAUGAUGGUCUCCACACGUUAUGGUACUGGCUCCACUACUAUACUAUGAUGGUCUCCACACCUUGUUACCUUACUGGCCCCACUACUAUACUAUGAUGGUCCCCACCUUGUUAUUGUACUGGCUCCACUACUAGUACUACUACUAUACUAUGAUGGUCUCCACACCUUGUUAUUGUACUGGCUCCACUACUGUACUAUGAAGGUCUCCACACCUUGUUAUUGUACUAGCUCCACUACUAGCUCCACUACUAUACUAUGAUGGUCUCCACAAGUUGUUAAUGCCUGAAUUAAGAAAGUGUUUAGUGAUUUCUGAUUGUAUGAGUCCUGUGGGAAUAGGGUCCAAGGGGCAGCUAGUUGACCUCAUUUUAUGGACCAUUUCAGAGACCUGUUGGGGUUGUCAAUGAGAAUGUGGUGAAACUGCAGCUGGGAGGCUCAGUGUGAAGCAGAGGGGCAGGUCUGAAUCAAGGGGUAGAUUGUACAGUGAAGUAAAUGCUCUUCAUUUCGUGUUCAGUGCCUCUUUGUAUGCAGUCUGUUGAUAUACCAGGGACUGGGGAUGUAGUUAGGUUUGUAUGCAGUCUGUUGAUAUACCAGGGACUGGGGAUGCAGUUAGGUUUGUAUACAGUCUGGUGAUAUACCAGGGCCUGAGGAUGUAGUUAGGUUUGUAUACAGUCUGGUGAUAUACCAGGGCCUGAGGAUGUAGUUAGGUUUGUAUGCAGUCUGUUGAUAUACCAGGGCCUGAGGAUGCACAGUUAGCUUUGUUUUCCUCUAGCUACUCUGCAGUUUGCUCCCAGCAGCUUUCAUAGAACGUAGAUCACUGUUAAACUAGGCAGCAGAGCGUUUGUUUGACUGAAUGAAUAUGACAUUGACUUAAAUGCAGCGUUAGAUGUAAAGUUUAAAUUCUCAUUCAUUACUAAUCAAUCAACACAUGCUUUCCUUGGACGUAUCAAUAUAAUAUUAUUAUUUAGUGAAAUACAUUUUAAAAAUACCCUUUUUUGUCAGGAAAUAAAAUAAACUUUUCCUUAUACUGCGUUACCCACUCCAGUCAGCUGAUAACGAUGCUGCCAGUGUGACGUAUAAUCUAGUGGACGGGACACUUCAACAACAACAGCGAGUCAGUCACUUCAGUAGCUUGCUAGGCGACGUAGCCUAAACGUUCAAGCUUUUUAGACUGUUUCUGUCCAUACUUGCCUAUGUGUUUUAAACAUACUUCUGUUUUAUAGCGAGUUGCCCCAUUUAUUUUCUUAUUUACGUUGUUAGUCAGGCAGAUGUCUUAAAUUUGCCUAGCGCUAGGCUAGUCGCUAAUGCUAACUAGCUAGCUAUUAUCCCCGACCAUGAGUUCACUAAGCUACUCUCCUCCUGCUAAAGAAGAGGUCUGCUGGACGGAGGAAGAAGCUCUGGGGCUGAACAUUGUCGUGGAAGAGGAGGAUGUCACAGUAAAACAAAAAGUAGAGGGAGAGAGACCAGACUCUCCUUCUGACAGCAGGAAGAGUCCUUCAGAGGAACCAGACCCUGAGAUGUUCAAACCAGCAGGACGACAUCACUGCUCCCAGUGUGGAAAGAGUUUUACUCAGUUAGGGAGCCUGAGAACACAUAAGAGAAUACACACUGGAGAGAAGCCUUACCACUGCUCCUUGUGCGGAAAGAGUUUUAGGUGGUUAGGGAGCGUGGAAAGGCAUGAGAGGACACACACAGGAGAAAAGCCUUUCCAUUGUUCCCAUUGUGGAAAGAGUUGUACACAGUUAGGGAGCCUGAAGGAGCAUGAGAGAAUACACACAGGAGAAAAGCCUUACCAAUGUUCCCAUUGUGGAAAGCAUUUUGCCCAGUUAGGAAACCUGAACCAGCAUGAGAGGAUACACACAGGAAAAAAGACGCACCACUGCUCCCACUGUGGAAAGAGAUUUACCCGCUUAAGGUACCUGAAAGAGCAUGAAAGAAUACAUACAAAUACACAAGAGGAGAAGACAUACCAUUGCUCUCAUUGUGGAAAGACAUUCUCCCAGUCAGAGGACCUGAAAUCACAUGAGAGAAUAGAGAGGCUGUGUUCUGACUUGUGUUUUUGACUGAGAAUUUGUGAUUUUGUUUGGACUGUCAGACUUGAGUUCCCUUUGUGUAAUGUUAGUGCACAAUUUUUUUAUUGCGAUUAAUCCAUUGUCUGGAAGGGUUAAAAAUACACUGAAAACAUCCAAAAUACAUCCUGUGUACUGUUAAAAUCUACAAUGCCAUGUAAAAACAAGAUGACAUUGAGGUUAAAUAAAGGGUGCUUUAUCAAUGUAACAUA